GUGUUUAUAUACAAAACUAAUGCACUAGAUCCCAUCCGAACUCCGCAGUUAAGCAUGCUUGAGCGAGAGUAGUACUAGGAUGGGUGACCUCCUGGGAAGUCCUCGUGUUGCACCCC